CUGCCGUUUUACUCCCAACCCUAAUCUGCGAACACCGUUUUGUAAGAGCUUGAGCGGUCAGUACUCACUUUCUAGAUUGAAAAGUGAAAACCCUUAAUCGUCUUCUUUUACAACCCUAAUUAAUUGUCUAUUGCGGUACCGCCUCUCUUCCACCCUCCCUAAUCUCCUUCUCUUCAAUUUUAAUUAUUCUAACAGAACUCUAGAUUAUGAAAUCUUAAUCUUUGAUUGUCAGAUGUUGGUGAUUUGCUCCAGGAAUAUAUUCUUCCGAAGAUGGUGAUAAUAUCAGAACCAACACCUAAUAAAAACCACUUUCUGUUUUCAGGUAAAAGAAAUUCACCAAACAAAUACACUCUAAUCCCGAACAAGUAAUCAAUCGUUUCUAUCUUACUAUUAAGGUUUAUCAGCUCUGAGGUCUUUUGAUGAUUUUAUUUAGUUUUUUCCUCUGUUUAUCUUUUCUGCCAUUUUGAUUCAUAAGUUUCCCGUGUAUGCUUCUCAAUCAAAUUCACGGUCUCCUGGGUUUUGUUAAUCAGUUUUAAAAUUUACGGAUUUUACUUGAUUUUUAUAUAUAUGUAAAAUAUAAGAUGGGCAAUCUGGGUUUAAGAAAAAUGAGCUCUAAUAGUUGAGUCUAAUUGAACUGGAAUUUGCUGGAUGAUAUGCUGAUCACAAACAUAUAUACAAAUAUGAGCCUCAUUUUCAGUUGUAGCCUCUUUAGUAAGUAAAGUAAGUGUAUCAGGCUAUGAAUUCCACAGAAUGAAACUUCUUCCAGCUUAUAAGAUCGUCUUCCUAUAGAAACGGGCAGAAACAAGGAACCAGACAUGAGGUCAUACAAAUAUGCAAAAGUAUAUGAGUACGAGUGCAAUCAAGGUUUCAAACUUGGAGUGGUCGAAUAGUUCCAUAAGGUCUUCACUAUGACGGGUCUAAAAAAAUGCUUGCUGGAUAUUUGAGACUAUGUUUUAUUUAGUGCAUUUGCUACAAAUCUCCCAAAAAUCAUCAUUCUAUUUGCACGGGUUUCAUUUUUUUUCUUUUAUAAAUCAAGUGUUGAAUAUAUUAUUGCUUAUUGAUCA